rnacentral:rRNA from 1 species
UACGAAGGGGGGCUAGCGUUGCUCGGAAUCACUGGGCGUAAAGCGCACGUAGGCGGAUUGCUAAGUCAGGGGUGAAAUCCUGGAGCUCAACUCCAGAACUGCCUUUGAUACUGGCGAUCUCGAGUCCGGGAGAGGUGAGUGGAACUGCGAGUGUAGAGGUGAAAUUCGUAGAUAUUCGCAAGAACACCAGUGGCGAAGGCGGCUCACUGGACCGUAACUGACGCUGAGACACGAAAGCGUGGGUAGCAAACGAGG